AAAAAAAAAAGUGAGAGAAAUCGCCAGCACGGCACACCGUACGGCCGUGUAUAAACGUAUAGCCAUCACGGAGAGACGCAUACAUAAUCCUCGUCGCCGCGCGUACAUUAUGGCAAUGGCUAUUUUAUCGUGACAAUUAAUAUACAAUAUGUCAUCGGGGUUAUUCGAACGCGCGCUUCCGUGCCUGCAAAAAUUAAUACUCUGAAUAAACUUCGGGCUCGUGCAGUAACAGGCUGCAGGUGAGGAGAAUUAUCGACGACAUACCUAGUGAAGAGAAGCCAUGUACACACCUAUAUGGUCUCUCUCUUGCAGCGACUGCGACUAGUCAACUUCGACAGGUGUCCUUGGUCGAAGUCCGUUGGAGUCGCACUGUAAAUUAUUUAUCAGUACUUGAUGUAGCUCUGACACAGGGAGCAGCAUUCAUUCAUCCUCUACGUCGUCACAGCUCUCUUCUCUUCUCCGUGGAUCAGACCUGCAGCUGUUGCAGACAGACGGAGGCGGUGCCCCGCCUCGUACAUAUUAGGAAAAACGACUCAUUCUCAUCAUAUUUUCCUGUGAAUAGUACUUGUUUUUCCAACAUAAAAAGAAGGAAUUAACACACACACACAUACUGUUCUUGUUCUUGUUGUUGAGAAAAAAAAAAAAAAAGAAAAAAAAAAAA